AGCCACAUUAAGGUGAAACCGCGAAUGGCUCAUUACAUCAGUUAUGGUUCCUUAGAUCGUACCCACAUUACUUGGAUAACUGUGGUAAUUCUAGAGCUAAUACAUGCAAAUAGAGUUCCGACCAGAGAUGGAAGGAAUGCUUUUAUUAGAUCAAAACCAAUCGGUGGCGGGCUUGCCUUGCUCACCGUUUGACUUGGUGACUCUGAAUAACUUUGUGCUGAUCGCACGGUCUCGUACCGGCGACGCAUCUUUCAAAUGUCUGCCUUAUCAACUGUCGAUGGUAGUUUCUGCGACUACCAUGGUUGUUACGGGUAACGGGGAAUCAGGGUUCGAUUCCGGAGAGGGAGCCUGAGAAACGGCUACCACAUCCAAGGAAGGCAGCAGGCGCGCAAAUUACCCACUCCCGGCACGGGGAGGUAGUGACGAAAAAUAACGAUACGGGACUCAUCCGAGGCCCCGUAAUCGGAAUGAGUACACUUUAAAUCCUUUCACGAUUAACAAUUGGAGGGCAAGCCUGGUGCCAGCAGCCGCGGUAACUCCAGCUCCAAUAGCGUAUAUUAAAGUUGUUGCGGUUAAAAAGCUCGUAGUUGAAUCUGUGUCCCACACUGUCGGUUCACCGCUCGCGGUGUCCAACUGGCAUGUCUGUGGGACGUCCUGCCGGUGGGCGCAGCCCCUCAAAAGGCGGCCCAACUCAAAAUCCUACCACGGUGCUCUUCACCGAGUGUCGAGG
rnacentral:rRNA from 1 species